rnacentral:rRNA from 1 species
AUUCCGGUUGAUCCUGCCGGAGGACAUUGCUAUUGGGAUUCGAUUUAGCCAUGCUAGUCGAACGAAUUCAGACUCGUGGCGAAUAGCUCAGUAACACGUGGCCAAGCUCCCCUUCAGUCAGCGAUACCCUCGGGAAACUGAGGUUAACAGCUGAUACAAAACGCCAGCUGGAAUGCGGCGUUUCAGAAAGACAUCGCUGAAGGAUGCGGCUGCGGCCGAUUAGGUAGACGGUGGGGUAACGGCCCACCGUGCCAGUAAUCGGUACGGGUGAUGAGAGUCAGAGCCCGGAGACGGAAUCUGAGACAAGAUUCCGGGCCCUACGGGGCGCAGCAGGCGCGAAACCUUUACACUGCACGGAAGUGCGAUAGGGGAAUCCCAAGUGCGAGGGCAUAUUAGCCCUCGCUUUCCUCGACUGUAAGGUGGUCGACGAAUAAGAGCUGGGCAAGACCGGUGCCAGCCGCCGCGGUAAUACCGGCAGCUCAAGUGAUGUCCCAUAUUAUUGGGCCUAAAGCGUCCGUAGCU